rnacentral:lncRNA from 1 species
AGUCCUGUCCCCAAGUUCGUCCGCCGCAAAAAUGCCCAAAAAAAGGUGGGCUAUAGCCUUGGGGGGAGGGCUGGCCAAGUUUGUUCGCCGGACUCGGAAUGGGGCCAGACUUUACGAGGCGCCUCCGUGUGCCAAAAAUAGGCCGCGGGCACUGCCGCUCCCAAAAAUAAGCCCCCGAAGUUCCCGUCCCUAAGUUCGACCGCCGCAAAAAUGCCCAAAAAACGGGUGGGCUAUAGCCUUGGGGGGAGGGGCUGCCCAAGUUCGUCCGCCGGACUGGGAAUGGGGCCAGACUUUGCGAGGGGCCUCCGUGUGCCAAAAUUAGGCCGCGGGCACUGCCGCGCCCAAAAAUAAGUGCCCGAAUGUCCCAUCCCCAAGUUCGUCCGCCGCAAAAAUGCCCAAAAAACGGGUGGGCUAUAGCCUUGGGGGGAGGGGCUGGCUGAGUUCGUCCGCCGGACUAGGAAUGGGGCCAGACUUUGCGAGGGGCCUCCGUGUGCCAAAAAUAGGGCGCGGGCACUGCCGCGCCCGAAAAUAAGCGCCCCAAGGUCCCGUCCCCAAGUUCGUCCGCCGCAAAAAUGCCCAAAAAACGGGUGGGCUAUAGCCUUGGGGGGAGGGGCUGGCCAAGUUAGUCCGCCGGACUCGGAAUGGGGCCAGACUU